UACGUAGGGGGCUAGCGUUGUCCGGAAUCAUUGGGCGUAAAGCGCGCGUAGGCGGCCCGGUAAGUCCGCUGUGAAAGUCAAAGGCUCAACCUUUGAAUGUCAGCGGAUACUGCCGGGCUAGAGUCCGGAAGAGGCGAGUGGAACUCCUGGUGUAGCGGGGGAAUGCGCAGAUAUCAGGAAGAACACCAACGGCGAAGGCAGCGCGCUGGGACGGAACUGACGCUGAGGCGCGAAAGCGUGGGGAGCGAACAGG
rnacentral:rRNA from 1 species